rnacentral:rRNA from 1 species
CCCGGUUGACUUAAGCAUAUCAAUAAGCGGAGGAAAAGAAACCAACAGGGAUUGCCCUAGUAACGGCGAGUGAAGCGGCAACAGCUCAAAUUUAAAAUCUGGCCCUCGGGUCCGAAUUGUAAUUUGCAGAGGAUGCUUCUGGCGCGGUGCCUUCCGAGUUCCCUGGAACGGGACGCCUUAGAGGGUGAGAGCCCCGUACGGUUGGACGCCUAGCCUCUGUGAAGCACCUUCGACGAGUCGAGUAGUUUGGGAAUGCUGCUCUAAAUGGGAGGUAAAUUUCUUCUAAAGCUAAAUACCGGCCAGAGACCGAUAGCGCACAAGUAGAGUGAUCGAAAGAUGAAAAGCACUUUGAAAAGAGGGUUAAACAGCACGUGAAAUUGUUGAAAGGGAAGCGUUUACGACCAGACCUUUUGCGGGAGGAUCAUGCGGCGUUCUCGCCGCUGCACUUCUCCCGUUCAAGGCCAGCAUCGGUUUUCGCGGGGGGAUAAAAGCCUCGGGAAAGUGGCCCUUCCGGGGGUGUUAUAGCCCGUUGCACAAUACCUCCGCGUGGACCGAGGACCGCGCUCUGCAAGGAUGCUGGCGUAAUGGUCGUCAAUGACCCGUCUUGAAACACGGACCAAGGAGUCGAACAUUUGUGCGAGUGUUUGGGUGUCAAACCCUCACGCGUAAUGAAAGUGAACGGAGGUGAGAGCCCUUUCGGGUGCAUCAUCGACCGAUCCUGAUGUCUUCGGAUGGAUUUGAGUAAGAGCAUAACUGUUCGGACCCGAAAGAUGGUGAACUAUGCGUGGAUAGGGUGAAGCCAGAGGAAACUCUGGUGGAGGCUCGCAGCGGUUCUGACGUGCAAAUCGAUCGUCAAAUCUGCGCAUGGGGGCGAAAGACUUAUCGAACCAUCUAGUAGCUGGUUACC